AUUCUGGCUCAGGAUGAACGCUGGCGGCGUGCUUAACACAUGCAAGUCGAACGGGAUCGGCUGGAGCUUGCUCCGGCCGUGAGAGUGGCGAACGGGUGAGUAAUGCGUGACCGACCUGCCCCAUACACCGGAAUAGCUCCUGGAAACGGGUGGUAAUGCCGGAUGCUCCAGUUGGAUGCAUGUCCUUCUGGGAAAGAUUCAUCGGUAUGGGAUGGGGUCGCGUCCUAUCAGCUUGAUGGCGGGGUAACGGCCCACCAUGGCUUCGACGGGUAGCCGGCCUGAGAGGGCGACCGGCCACAUUGGGACUGAGAUACGGCCCAGACUCCUACGGGAGGCAGCAGUGGGGAAUAUUGCACAAUGGGCGCAAGCCUGAUGCAGCGACGCCGCGUGCGGGAUGACGGCCUUCGGGUUGUAAACCGCUUUUGACUGGGAGCAAGCCCUUCGGGGUGAGUGUACCUUUCGAAUAAGCACCGGCUAACUACGUGCCAGCAGCCGCGGUAAUACGUAGGGUGCAAGCGUUAUCCGGAAUUAUUGGGCGUAAAGGGCUCGUAGGCGGUUCGUCGCGUCCGGUGUGAAAGUCCAUCGCUUAACGGUGGAUCCGCGCCGGGUACGGGCGGGCUUGAGUGCGGUAGGGGAGACUGGAAUUCCCGGUGUAACGGUGGAAUGUGUAGAUAUCGGGAAGAACACCAAUGGCGAAGGCAGGUCUCUGGGCCGUCACUGACGCUGAGGAGCGAAAGCGUGGGGAGCGAACAGGAUUAGAUACCCUGGUAGUCCACGCCGUAAACGGUGGAUGCUGGAUGUGGGGACCAUUCCACGGUCUCCGUGUCGGAGCCAACGCGUUAAGCAUCCCGCCUGGGGAGUACGGCCGCAAGGCUAAAACUCAAAGAAAUUGACGGGGGCCCGCACAAGCGGCGGAGCAUGCGGAUUAAUUCGAUGCAACGCGAAGAACCUUACCUGGGCUUGACAUGUUCCCGACAGCCGUAGAGAUACGGUCUCCCUUCGGGGCGGGUUCACAGGUGGUGCAUGGUCGUCGUCAGCUCGUGUCGUGAGAUGUUGGGUUAAGUCCCGCAACGAGCGCAACCCU
rnacentral:rRNA from 1 species